GGCGCCACGGGUGAGUAUCCACGUAUGUUACCUGCCCUUGGCAGGGGGAUUACCCGGAGAAAUCGGGCCUAAUACCGGGUAAUACCUUAGGGGGAGCAUUCUCUUGAGGUUGAAGGAGAGAUCCGGCAUGGGAUGGACCAUGCGUCGCAUUAGGUAGACGGCGGGGGUAACGGCCCACCGUGCCGACGAUGCGUAGGGGUUCUGAGAGGAAGGCCCCCCACACUGGUACUGAGACACGGACCAGACUCCUACGGGAGGCAGCAGUGAGGAAUAUUGGUCAAUGGCCGAGAGGCUGAACCAGCCAAGUCGCGUGAGGGAAGAAUGUCCUAAGGAUUGUAAACCUCUUUUGUCGGGGAGCAAAAAGGCCCUGCGGAGUCGUAUUGAGAGUACCCGAAGAAAAAGCAUCGGCUAACUCCGUGCCAGCAGCCGCGGUAAUACGGAGGAUGCGAGCGUUAUCCGGAUUUAUUGGGUUUAAAGGGUGCGCAGGCGGCGUGUCAAGCAAGCGGUAAAAUAGCGGGGCUCAACCCCGUCGAGCCGUUUGAACUGGCGCGCUUGAGUUCAGGCGAGGUAGGCGGAAUUCGUGGUGUAGCGGUGAAAUGCAUAGAUAUCACGAAGAACUCCGAUUGCGAAGGCAGCUUACCAGUCUGCGACUGACGCUCAGGCACGAAAGUGUGGGUAUCGAACAGGAUUAGAUACCCUGGUAGUCCACACAGUAAACGAUGAGCGCUAGGUGUCCGGGUCGAAUGAGGCUUGGGUGCCCGAGCGAAAGCGUUAAGCGCUCCACCUGGGGAGUACGCCGGCAACGGUGAAACUCAAAGGAAUUGACGGGGGCCCGCACAAGCGGAGGAACAUGUGGUUUAAUUCGAUGAUACGCGAGGAACCUUACCCGGGCUCAAACGACUCAGGAAUAUAUUGGAAACGAUGUAGCCAGCAAUGGUCUGAGUCGAGGUGCUGCAUGGUUGUCGUCAGCUCGUGCCGUGAGGUGUCGGCUUAAGUGCCAUAACGAGCGCAACCCCUACCGCCAGUUGCCAACGGGUAAAGCCGGGAACUCUGGCGGGACUGCCGGCGCAAGCUGCGAGGAAGGCGGGGAUGACGUCAAAUCAGCACGGCCCUUACGUCCGGGGCGACACACGUGUUACAAUGGCAGGUACAGCGGGAAGCCACCUGGUGACAGGGAGCGGAACCCGAAAGCCUGUCUCAGUUCGGAUUGGAGUCUGCAACUCGACUCCAUGAAGCUGGAUUCGCUAGUAAUCGCGCAUCAGCCAUGGCGCGGUGAAUACGUUCCCGGGCCUUGUACACACCGCCCGUCAAGCCAUGGGAGCCGGGGGUGCCUGAAGUACGUGACCGCGAGGAGCGUCCUAGGGCAAAACUGGUGACUGGGGCUAAGU
rnacentral:rRNA from 1 species